rnacentral:rRNA from 1 species
UACGUAGGGGGCAAGCGUUGUCCGGAAUCAUUGGGCGUAAAGAGCGUGUAGGCGGUCCGGUAAGUCGGUUGUGAAAGUCCAGGGCUCAACCCUGGGAUGCCGACCGAUACUGUCGGACUAGAGUUCGGAAGAGGCGAGUGGAAUUCCCCGGUGUAGCGGUGAAAUGCGCAGAUAUCGGGAGGAACACCUAUGGCGAAGGCAGCUCGCUGGGACGUUACUGACGCUGAGACGCGAAAGCGUGGGGAGCAAACAG